UGCGUAACACGUAAGCAAUCUACCCUCGUGUGGGGAAUAACCUGUCGAAAGACGGGCUAAUGCCGCAUACGGUUGCCCUUCACCUGAAGGGCAUACUAAAACCCGGGACCGCAAGGCCGGGUGCAUGAGGAGGAGCUUGCGGCCUAUCAGCUAGUUGGCGGGGUAACGGCCCACCAAGGCUAAGACGGGUAGCUGGUCUGAGAGGACGACCAGCCACACUGGAACUGAGACACGGUCCAGACACCUACGGGUGGCAGCUAGUUUCGAAUUAUUCAACAAGUGGGACGAAAGCCUGAUGGUGCGACGCCGCGUGAGGGAUGGAAAGGUCUUCGGAUUGUAAACCUCUGUCACCGGGGAAGAAUGGCUAUGACCUAACACGUCAUGGAUUGACUUAACCCGGAGAGGAAGCAGUGGCUAACUCUGUGCCAGCCGCUGC
rnacentral:rRNA from 1 species